GCACCUGUUCAGGUAGGGGUAAUAAGACCUGUGCAACAUGUAAGGGAGAGAAAAAGUUAUUGCACUUCAUCCAGCUGGUCAUCACAUGGAAAAACAGCCUAUUUGAGUUUGUCACUGAGCACCAUAUGAACUUUCCAGAGGAGUUGUUGGCUAAAGUCAGAGGAGAAAAUAUAUUUAAGGAUGAAAAUGUUAUGGUGUAUCCUAUUGUUGACUUCCCCAAGCAGGAGAUCUCUUUAGCAUCCCAGAGAGGCAUUGCUGAGCACAGUACUGCUUUGGCUGGGAGGUCUCGUGUUCUUCAGCAGGUCAGUGGAAAGGCAUUGGGUGAUAGAUUAUAGGGAGACACUGAUUCUGAGCUGAUGCUCUGUGGGAGAAUCUUACUUAAGAAGCAUGAUGGUGUGUUUCGUUGUGUCAAACUAAAAU